rnacentral:lncRNA from 1 species
GGAAUUAUAGGUCUGAAAAUCAACCAAGGAAGUUGAAAUUCAGAUCUGAAUUUUUUAGAAGAAAAUUGAAAUUCCUUUAGUGAUGGCUAUGGAGAGAAUUCUGCAGCAUUUCAGGUUGAAUCAGGUGUGAAUUUUGAAUGGCAUAGGGUCUCUAUUUAUAGAGGGAAUGUCAAGGAAAUGAUGAACAAAGCCGUGUGCAUGAG